UAGCUAUGAUGUGGGCAACCAUUUAGAAUUUUCUUGAACCAUUCCUAGUAUUGAAAGAAGCUUUCUUCCUCUUUUUGUGAAAAAUUCAUGAUUGCCCUUCUAAGGAU